rnacentral:lncRNA from 1 species
UUUGUUAUCUCUUAUUUUUAACGCUAAAAUUUCAGCACAAAGAAUGAAAAGAUAAGGCGAUAAUGGAUCACCUUGCCUACAACCCCGUUCAACAGUGAAAAAGUCUGAAAGAUUCCCUCCUGAAUGACUGCUGAAUUAAUGUUUUGAUAGAGCACUUUCACCCAAUUUAUAAUAGAAUCGCCAAAAUUAAAAAAUUUCAAUACAUUUAAAAGAAAUUCCCAUGAAAUGGAAUCAAAGGCUUUUUCAAAAUCUAUCAGCAAUAAAAGGCCUGGUAUAUCAUUAUCUUCAGUAUAUUCCAUGAUAUCAUAGAUCAAUCUUAGAUUUUCCCCAAUAUAUCUUCCACUCAUAAAACCUGUCUGAUCAGUAUCAAUAAGUUUAGUCAAAACUGUUCUAAAUCUUCCUGCUAUAACCCCAGAGCCAAUUUUAUAUACAGUAUUAAGCAAAGAUAUAGGGCGCCAGUUUUUUAAAAAAUGUCUAGGUUUGUUACCCUUUGGAAGACAUGUAAUUAUCCCCUGUUUUUGAGUAACAGAAAGUUCCCCUUUAUCAUACCCUGCAUUCAAGGAUCUUACAACAAAAAUUUUUAAGUCAGGCCAGAAAAAUUUAAAAAAAUUCACUUGAAAAACCAUCUGAUCCAGGCGUUUUAUUGCUUUUCAUUCUUUUUAAAGUUUCACCAGCUUCCUGAACUGAUAUUUCACCUUCUAGUUUAU